UGCUCGGUGGCGUGAAGGUAUAGUUACCUGCCUGACAUACAAUGGAUCGCUGGUUCGAAUCCUCAUGAUGACUUCUGCACGUCGCUGAUAACACCUGAAGGUUGCGGUAAGCCGUGUGUCCUCGCACGCAGUGACCAAAAACACUGGUUGCGGAAAA